AUGGCAGCUCGUGGGAGCGGAGCAGCUGAGUGCGCCCCGCUGCCCCCAGGGAGCGGGAGGACAGGGGCAGGACUUUCCUGGUGCCAGGGCUGCGCUGCGCCAUCCCCGCCUGCCGGGGAGCUCCAGGGCUCUGUGCCCAGCUGUGCGUCUUCACCACGCUGUGUCCCUGCAGGACGUGGCGGGGGUGGGGGUGGAGGGGCGCUGAGGUGGGAGAUGCUGGCACAGACCCCAGGGAUGUUGUGCUCUGCCUGCGUGGAGACCUUGCUUGCGUCCGGUGUCCGAGUGGCGUGGAUCUGUUGUAUUUGUGAUGGGAUCAGGCCUCCCGUGCCCCAGUGCCACCAGCCCCGCGUUUCCCUGUGCCGGGGAUGCAGCACGGCCAUGACAUGGGCAGGACCUGGGCAGCACUGGGGCUCCCUGCCCUGCUCCCAGCACAGUGAUCAUGGGCUGCUGGGGCUCGCGUGGCUCUGGGGCUACUGUCCCUGCCCAGCUGCGCCUCGCUCUGCUUGGGCUUGGGGAGAAAUGCCCCUAAGGACCGGAGGAGGAAGAGGCUGCGAUUUUUUCAGCAAAAAAUUUCACUCCUCUAAACACAGUUUAAUGAUUUAUAAGCAAAAUCCCUGUGACCCUCCCCCGGCCCCAUACUAUUGUCAGGUGGGGUUUGGCCCAGGGUGGCCACGGGGUGGGGAGCAGCGGCAUCCCCCACCUUUGGUGCCCGGACGCCUUCCACGGGGAAAGCGUUUCCGCACCUCAGGGCUGGGUUGGUGCUUGGGCUCCUGGCUCCCCCCACGUCCCCACCGUGCCGGUGUGGGGCACGGCAGCCGUGGGGCUUCGCCUGCGCCGGAGCCGUGGGGCCGCGCGGCAGCCGGAGAGGUGGUAUUUGGAACAAGGGCUGCGGCUCAUAGGAAAUCACGUGGCGCGGAGACCUGGGGCUUUACGGGAAGAGAGAUUAGAGAGGCGAGGGGCAGCGCGGGGCUGCUUGGUGCCUGGGGCUGCCGCCCGCAGCGGAGCUGGCUCACGCCGCCUGCUCGCACGCAGCCCGGCCGGGAGCUGGGGGGCUCGGCGGGGCGCGGGGAGGCGCGGGCAGGUGGGGGGCGGGCGCGCCCUCCCCAAAGCAGAUGGUCCCUCCGAAGCGAGCUGCCCCUUCCGCAUCGAUUCCCCGGGCUGGAUGGUUAA
rnacentral:lncRNA from 1 species